CGGACGUGGAUAACCUGCCUCACACUGGGGGAUAACAGUUAGAAAUGACUGCUAAUACCGCAUAAGCGCACAGUACCGCAUGGUACGGUGUGAAAAACUCCGGUGGUGUGAGAUGGAUCCGCGUCUGAUUAGCCAGUUGGCGGGGUAACGGCCCACCAAGGCGAUGAUCAGUAGCCGGUCUGAGAGGAUGAACGGCCACAUUGGGACUGAGACACGGCCCAG
rnacentral:rRNA from 1 species